UAAGAUUUGCAAUAAGCUAUGGCCCCAGAAGCCUUUUCUUCUGCAGAACCUGCCUUGAGAGUGGAGCUCACUUCUUCAUAUUAUUCAUAUUUGAUUGGUUGAAGUUGAGGAAUUAUUUAAGCACAUGUUUUUAUUUGCUUGUUUCUUUCUUUGUUAAUUAGGAAUAUUUGAAUUAAUGAUAAUGUCAACGUCACAACUUUGUCAUUGUUGAGAUAACAACUGUACCUACUGAUAAAACAUCUUUAUCCCUUAAGUUUUUGUGCUUAAAAAUGAUUCUUUAAAGCUUUAAAUUAAAUUCUCAAAGUAGUUUCGAAUCAUGCGGUUGCCAUUGGAAAACAAGACAAUUAGUAACUGAUAUGGAAGAAAGCCUUGCUUCUCCAUAGUUAAAGCUCAGAUGGAAAAGCAAAACUCAGAGAUAUGGCUCUCAUAUGUGGGCUGCCUUGUGGAAACUACAAAAUGAUUGUCAUCCAAUGAUUAGGGAGUUAGCAAAUAGGAAUCUCUUCACUGAUGCUUCUUGCCCUUCAUGUGCUAUAGAAAAGGAAUGCUUGGAUUACCUAUUUAUUACCUAUAACUUAACUUGUUUGAUGUUGUUCAGAUCACCACUCACCAUUAGAAGGUACUUGAGUCAAAGUCAAGUCAUAAUUGUGUUGCUACUUGGCUGGAAAGUGUAAUGCCAGUGCAAUCACUUCAUUGUAUUCUUUCAACAAUCUUUGGGCUAUUUGGAUACAUUGAAAUAAAAUAGCACAUGAAAGAAUAAGUGUUAAUGCUAGAUUUUGAAGUCCUAAGUCGUAGUGCUUACCUUUAUACUAUUUGUAGGGAUGCAACAAACUUAUGGGAAGUGGACACUCCUGUUAAACCACCUAAUGUACCUUUCAACAGUUUCCUUGGCAGUAUAGCACAUGAUCAAAUGUUGAAGCCAAACGUUGAGACUUGGCACACGGUGGUGAUUGUGGAAGUGGCAACGCUGCAACUGCAAGGUUGAGACUUGAGAGAGAGCAAAGCAUGUCAAUGGAGGAGGGAGAUUGAGAUUUUGAAAUAUUCAGAUAAGAUGGGUUUGAUGAGUUAACUCACUGUUUAUUGUCUAACAACAGAACGAUGCUCUACACAAUGGGGGCCAACCUUGCAUUAAGAAGUCCAGCAAGAGAAUCUAGGAAAGAGCACAAGAGUUCUCCCUUCUCUCACUGCCGACCUUCAAAAUCCCAAACAGCUUCAUAACCCGUGCUGGACUCCGCCUCCCCAUGGUUGGAUCAAGGUGAACUCUGAUGCUGCCAUAGCUACAUCCUCCACUGCAAUUGCCGCUGUUGCAAGAAACUCCACUGGCAUGGUUGUUAUGGUGAACUCUCAUGUGGUUGUUCAAAAUGCUUCCCUUGAAGGAUGUUCCCAGGUUAUCUUUGAAAGUGACUCCAAGGAAUGCAUAGAUCCUCUGUCUUCUAAUUUUCCUUCUGAUUGGACUAUUAGCAAUGUUAUUAGCAAUAUCAGUACUUUAGUUGAAUCUUUCAAUAGGUUUUCCUUUUCUUGGGUUAGACGAUCAGGAAAUUCUGCUGCCCAUGUUGCAGCUAAAUUAUCCUUGAAAUCUAGCAUGUCUUUAAGUUUUAAUAAUGACAAACUGCCAUCAGCUCUUUCUAAGUCUGUAUGUUUAGCAGAUAGUCAUCUUGUACCCCUUUAUUUUUGAGUAAUGAAAUUGAAGAUUAUCAACAACAAAAAA